GACGAACCGUACGAACGUUAUUCGGAAUCACUGGGCUUAAAGGGUGCGUAGGCGGCGCGACAAGUUGGGUGUGAAAUCCCUCGGCUCAACCGAGGAACUGCGCCCAAAACUGUCGUGCUCGAGGGAGACAGAGGUGAGCGGAACUUAGGGUGGAGCGGUGAAAUGCGUUGAUAUCCUAAGGAACACCGGUGGCGAAAGCGGCUCACUGGGUCUGUACUGACGCUGAGGAGCGAAAGCGUGGGGAGCGAACAGG
rnacentral:rRNA from 1 species